CUAUUUUAACUUCUGAUUUAAUUUCUAUUUUAAUUUCUGUCUAUUUUAUUUAAAAGUUUAAACUAUUACUUUUUUAAAAUUUAAAUUUCUAUUUUAAUUUCUAAGUGUCCCAUUUUCCCAAGUUGAUGGGACAUAGCUGACUUUUUCUUUGUGUCUUCGUGGCAUCUAAUUCAUAAGCAUGCCCACCAGAGGUACUUAAUAUAUAGUUGACAAUGAAACAGAAUGGCCUAGAAGGGUGGAAAUGCACACCUAGAUUACAACACUGGACAAGAUGAGUAGAUAACUUUUAGUAUGCUGCCCUGCUUACUACCUUUCUCCCGUCUCUGGGCCCUGGGCAUGGUGGCCAUAUCUGCAACAUGUACUCUCCUCUCUGGCCAUAAGUGAUUGGGCCAGAAGUUUACACAUGAUUCAAGCUGAGCCAAUGAGAUUGGCACUAAGAUUUUAAGACAGUUUCUUAGGGCAGCUGUACUUGUACAUGUACUCUCCUCUCUGGCCAUAAGUGAUUGGGCCAGAAGUUUACACAUGAUUCAAGCUGAGCCGAUGAGAUUGGCACUAAGAUUUUAAGACAGUUUCUUAGGGCAGCUGUACUUGUAACACAUGAACUCGGAAGCAUGGUCUACUGAAACUCAACGAAGAAGAUGAGAGAAAAAAGAGUGAAUUCCCUGGCUUUCCAACUCCUAAGUCCCAAUUCCUUCUUGAGGCUCAGCUGUAAAUGUGCCUUUGGUCUCUGUGAGAAACCCUGUGUUUUUAUAAAAUGUCUUUGUCUUUUCCUCCCUUCCUCACUUCCUCUCCUCCCAUCCCUCCUUCUUUUCUUCUUUUAAAUUUUAUGGAAGUUAGCUUUAAUGGGUUUCAGUUCAUUUCAACCAGAAUCUUGAAUCUAAACAAAUUUGCCUCCAGGUUGUUGAGGCGGCUGAUACGAAUACCUCGUGCUCUGACAACUCCAGGAAAGCUGGGCCUCCAGAGAUCUCAGGGGCAUCGAAGCUCCUAUGAAGACUCCACUGCCAGACCAAGUCACCUUAUAAGGAAGAUCCCCCAAGAAGGAACUAUGAGAUAG
rnacentral:lncRNA from 1 species